UCUCCUCGUUGUUGGCCAGCUUUACAAGCAGGGUGUGCAUGCUGCUCAGCUCAUCUCUUAGAAAGGCAAUCUUGGUCUUCACUCCUGUCUGAAGCUUGUACUCCCCUUCUAUCAACUUGGAGAGCUUGGGAAGCAGGGCACUUAUCACACCCGUUGAAGCACUCACUAUUGCACCAGCCAUCUCUCUCUCUCUCUCUCUCUCUCUCUCUCUCUCUCUCUAGAUCUCUCUCUCUCUCUAGAUCUCUCUCUCUCUUUGUGUGUGUUUGUGCACCUCCAGAUCUGGAGCUACCCGAGGGUCAGGUCACCUCCAUUAGGAGCGGCCAACGAAGAGGCAUGACUAAGAUGUGUUCAGUGUUCUCUAACCACACCGGAGCUUGAUCUGGCUGAAGAAGCCUUGAUGAUUCAGGCUAUGGGGAAGGGAAAGAGAGGAGGUGCUGAGGCCUGCUGCUGCUGGUGGA
rnacentral:lncRNA from 1 species